GCCAACAUUUGGCUCAGUCUCUCUAUAUUUUACUUCAAAAUGAGGAGAAAGAAAGGACUUAGUAAACGGAGAGAGGGAGGAAGAGACAGAGGAAGGGAGGAAUGACGGCCGGGCGCGGUGACUCAUGCGUGUAAUCCCAGCGCUUUGGAAGACCGAGGCGGGCGGAUCAUGAUGUCAAGAGAUCGAGACCAUCCUGGUUAACAUGGUGAAACCCCAUCUCCACUAAAAAUACAAACAUUAGCUGGGCGUG
rnacentral:lncRNA from 1 species